ensembl:lncRNA
AUGCGAUUCCUGCUCCGUCUCAGUGUGUUGUCGUUGCACGGGCAAUGGCGGACGGAGCCCGAGCAUUUGUUUGAAAAACGUACGUUUUGCACAAAUAUACUCGAAUAUCGAUCGGCCAGUCAAAGCGUUCAGCUCGCACGUGUGUUUUUGGCCCUGAUCAGAUCUGCGCCCGUCAGCAUGGAUGUGAAUCUGACCAUCUCUCUGAUGCGGGGCCAGAUGGGCGCUGUUAUCGAGAAAGCCGUGAACGUCGCGGUGGAGACCGUGUUAGGAGAGAUGAUCCGGGUGGUCGGGCUCAAAUUUGAGGAGAUCAAACGUGAUAUGACAGCUAAAGAGAAGGAGAAUGAGAACAUCAGGAGGAUGUUGGAGGCGUCCCGCUGUCAGAUGAAAACCAUGCGCAAGUACAUCAGCGUCCUGUCUGCUAAAGACCCCAACCAUAGACUGUAUCAGGGAGAUGGAGACAUGGCUACAACAUCCACAGGGAUGCACUGCAGAAGAGGGCCGACGAGCACUGUGUCAGUGUGUGCCACAACCCCAGUCCCCUGUCCCAGACCCAGACCCUCUGAGCCAGCCCCUGUAGCUGGACCCUCAUGGGUGAGACAGCAGAUGCACAUGUCCAAAGAAACAGUAAGAAGUGAGAAUCACAUUGCUGAUGUCCAUAUUGAAGAGAUCCAUGGAUCAUCAGUUCAUAAAGUUGAUAUCUCAAGCCCUCAUCUGGUGGACAGUCAGGCGCUUCUGUCUGAGACCAGUGAUCCAGUAUGGGGUCAGAACCCUCUCACCUCUGCAGAGACUGGGCACUCAGAUGAAAGUGUGUCAUCCCAAACUACAAGCACAGUGGGAUUUGGAGCACCUUCACUUAAAAUCAAACAGGAGGAAGCUGAGGUUGAAAUAGUCUGUGUGAAGGAUGAACACGCAGAAUCUGGCAACAUCCCUAGAUUUGAAUAUUCUGACCCUGAACUUCACCAGCCAGCGGGAGAACCAGAGCUCGGGGUCUCACUAGAUCUACCCGCAUCAUUUCAAGCUCUUCAGAGUCCAAGCACUUCAGCAGACUUUGCACUCCCAGCAUUCAUGAGUGUGGACCCAGCUACCUCUAUGUCAGAUGUGAGUCCAGGGAGUUUUGAAAAUAAUCAAUGUACAGCUGCAGAGAGGGCUAUUCUCGAGUCACAGGGAGAAAUGGACUGGAAAAUCAAUCACCUGACUGCACUGGUUCAGUGUCUUGUGGGGAACAGGUGCUUUGUGCCUCCACUUCAAAUGGAGGAUGAGGAAGAGGAUUGUGUCUUGCCUUUGAUGUCAAUGGAGGAUCUUGACCAAUUGGAGCAAAGACUUAUGGAUAGAGGGAUGAUGCAAAAAUUGGUAAGAUUCGUUGGAAUUAUGCAGUUAAAGAAGUGA